UACUUAGUCACUUAUGAUCCGAUCCAACCAGAUGCACUUGCAUCGAUCCCUAGACAUGGGUUUGGGGGCUUCAUCAUCCUUGGGGAUUUUUUUUUGUGUCAUUGGAUUUGGUGGUCAAUAUGAUGUGCUACCCCUUCCUAAGUAAAAAUUUUCAUGUAUGAACAGUCCAACAACAUCGUGAUAUUAUUAGAGAAUGGAG
rnacentral:lncRNA from 1 species